rnacentral:rRNA from 1 species
UGAUCUUAGCGGCGGACGGGUGAGUAAUACUUAGGAAUCUGGCUAUUAGUGGGGGACAACAUUUCGAAAGGGAUGCUAAUACCGCAUACGUCCUACGGGAGAAAGCAGGGGAUCAGUAAUGACCUUGCGCUAAUAGAUGAGCCUAAGUCGGAUUAGCUAGUUGGUGGGGUAAAGGCCUACCAAGGCGACGAUCUGUAGCGGGUCUGAGAGGAUGAUCCGCCACACUGGGACUGAGACACGGCCCAGACUCC